AACGCGAAGAACCUUACCUGGGCUCGAAAUGCUAUGGACCGGGGUAGAAAUAUCCCUUCCCCGCAAGGGGCCGUAGUAUAGGUGCUGCAUGGCUGUCGUCAGCUCGUGUCGUGAGAUGUUGGGUUAAGUCCCGCAACGAGCGCAACCCUUGUCCUGUGUUGGCAUGCCGCAAGGCGCAACUCGCAGGAGACCGCCAGCGAUAAGCUGGAGGAAGGUGGGGAUGACGUCAAGUCAUCAUGGCCUUUAUGUCCAGGGCCACACACGUGCUACAAUGGGCGGUACAAAGCGCUGCCAACCCGCGAGGGGGAGCUAAUCGCCAAAAACCGUCCUCAGUUCGGAUCGCAGGCUGCAACUCGCCUGCGUGAAGCUGGAAUCGCUAGUAAUGCUAUAUCAGAACGAUAGCGUGAAUACGUUCCCGGGCCUUGUACACACCGCACGA
rnacentral:rRNA from 1 species